UAGAGACUGGUUGGGUAAUACCUUCCAAACCUCCCACCCUUUGUUUACAUACCUUUGUUGCUUUGGCAGGCCCGUCUUUUAGACCGCCGGCUUUAGCUAGCCAGUGCCUGCCAGAGGACCUAAAACUCUGUUUAAUUGUAUUGUCUGAGUACUAUAUAAUAGUUA
rnacentral:misc_RNA from 1 species